UGCAGGACAGGUAGAAUGGGGGUCAGUGAAGUACCUGACGGACAAGGCAAGUUUCCCCCCACUUUUUCAGAAUAUUAUCACAGCCCAAACAUGGUGGUGGACAUGGCUGCUGCACCAUAAACAGAGGUAUUGUCUCUCUUGGAUUGUUGCCUUAAAGAUGUUUCUUCCAGGUCCUGGUAUGAGGGUCUUAUUUCUCAAUGUGGAGCUAGGGAUUAAGGACUGCGAAGAUGCCAUCAGUCAAGGAAACCAGAGCAAAUUAUCUCAGAGUUUCCACUCAACUUAGGCUGAUCUGUGUUGAAACCCGCAGCAUCUCUCUUUCUUUCUCCUUCUACGAUCUUUGCACUACAGAUGCUUCCAGGAGUUUUGAGGAGAAAGCACACGCAUGCUCUCUACAGCAGAUCUUGCAGUGGCUUGAGGUGGCCUCACCAAUCCUCAUAGCUUUGCCUCCUUGGAACUUUCUCUGAAGCUGAAGAAGUUGUGUCACACUGAAGAAGUCACAUACACAAAUGUGUCAGGUGUGACCUGAAAGCACAAAGAGGUUAAAGCCUCCAAGGGCAACCCAACAAUGGGGUCAGGACUCCUUGGCCACAGGCCCCAGCCUCCUUCUCCAGCUGGUGCUGUUCCCAAGAACAUUCCUCGGAGGAUCCCAAUAGGGUUGAGGCCCUGUUGCUCAGGGUGGAACCAGCUUAGGCUGCAUCCUUGGUUGACUCUUCUCCCUCACUUCUGCCUCUUCUUCCAAGUAAACUCAAUGCAUUUAAGUCCUUGAUUCAGGUUCUGUUUUUGAUUUUUUUUUUUUUUGAGCAGCUCAAACUAAAAAAUGUUUACACUUGUUUCUAGGAAAGCUGGCUUGAAAGUCCUCUAAGAUCUCAGAGUGGUGACGGUGGGUGUCAAAAGUCUGAAUUCCUCUCUCCAUGAGCCUUUCUGGCAAAAGUGUCAUGAGCUGCAUGUGCCAUGGCUUUGGACCAUUCCUGUGCUCCUCUGUGCAGGGCCACUGUCCCAUUAUGCACUAGAAGAUGCAGUGCCUUAGGUAUGACAACUUCACAGAGGACAGUCUGAAAACCAAAAAUAAAUGGAUUGGUUUUAAAGUACGAGAAUUUUAAAAAAUAAAAAUUCAUGAACAUUUAAUAUUGAAUGUCUAUGAAAUAUUCUACCCAUUAAAUAAUUGCUUCUGGUUA
rnacentral:lncRNA from 1 species